GAGGCCGGGCACAGCCCCGCUCCCGGCGCCGCCUCACGGCCGCAGGCGCUGCCUCCCGCGGCCCGGCCCGGUCCCCUGCGCUGGCUCCGCGGGGAGCGCUCCGCGCCGCGCGGCCAUGGAGGCCCCGGGGCCGCCGCCUACCUGCGCCACCGGCUCCGGCCCUCCGCUCCGCCGGCCCGCCCGCACGGAACUCACAGGUGGAAGAGUCAAGUGAUCUGCUGGAAUUACACUGAGAGAAGAGAGAUGGGCGGAUCCUGUGCUGAGAAGGGCAGAGGAACUUCAUAAGCAGAAGGAGACACUUAGAAGAGAAAAUGAAUUGCCUCACCAUUUUGAAUUAACCGCAAAAGAUACUCCUGACAAGAUCUGUAAGAAAAAGAAUUCAUAUGCAGAAGCAAUUGCAUUUUCUGACUGGUUCUUUGUGUUCUUUUAUGACCAAAACAUUACUUUCUGACU